UACGAAGGCCCCAAGCGUUAUCCGGAAUUACUGGGUGUAAAGCGUCUGUAGGUGGUUUUAAAGGUUUCGUGUGAAACUUCGGGGCUCAACCCUGAAUUGCACGAAAAACCAUAGAACUUGAGUGUGGGAGAGGCAAGCAGAAUGGUAAGAGUAGGGGUGCAAUCCGUUGAUACUUACCAGAAUACCAAAAGCGAAGGCAGCUUGCUGGAACAUUACUGACACUGAGAGACGAAAGCGUGGGGAGCAAAAGGG
rnacentral:rRNA from 1 species